CAAAUUUAAAAUCUACCUGGUUUYCAGGUCGAGUUGUAAUUUGAAGAUACGUUUUUGACGUUCCGGGUUGAACUAAAUCCUUUGGGAUAAGGUAUCAUGGAGGGUGAGAAUCCCGUAUAUACCAACCRYAGGGAUGUUAUUUAAUACGUUUCUAAGAGUCSAGUUGUUUGGGAAUGCMGCUCUAAAUGGGUGGUAAAUUUCACCUAAUGCUAAAUAUAAGCSAGAGACCGAUAGYGAACAAGUACAGUGAUGGAAAGAUGAAAAGAACUUUGAAAAGAGAGUUAAAUAGUAUGUGAAAUUGUUGAAAGGGAAACGAUUGAAGUCMGUCMUGCCVGUGGGAAUCMACUUWGAGGAAACUCUGAGUGCACUUCUUCGCUUGGCAGGUCAACGUCGAUUUUGGAUGUCAUAAAAUGAUUGGGGGAAGGUAGCYCYYUCGGGAGUGUUAUAGCCCUUGGUAGAUGUGAUGUCUGGGAUCGAGGAUUGCAAUGGAUACCCUUUGGGGCUAGCCGCCUGAUCUCUAAUYGGUAUUGGGUUACGGAUAGCAUGCUGACCGUGAUCUAAUUAUUGGUUAAAAGGUUAG
rnacentral:rRNA from 1 species